AAUCCAUGAUGUGGACAAGUACUUAGCAAAUCCUUAAAUCUCUCCCAGCAAGCCCGAAAAGUCUCGUCACCCUUCUGUAUAAAUUGAAUGAUCUGUUCCUGCAAAAAU